rnacentral:rRNA from 1 species
AAGCCUGCAUGUCUCAGUGCAAGCCGAAUUAAGGUGAAACCGCGAAAGGCUCAUUAAAUCAGCUAUGGUUCCUUAGAUGGUACAGUACAGUUACUUGGAUAACUGUGGCAAUUCUAGAGCUAAUACAUGCAAACCGAGUUCCGACCGCUUAGCAGGCGGAAGGAAUGCUUUUAUUAGAUCAAAACCAAUCGGACUCCUCCGCGGGUCCGUCACGCCUUGGUGACUCUGAAUAACUUCGGGCUGAUCGCACGGUCCCGAACCGGCGACGCAUCUUUCAAAUGUCUGACUUAUCAACUUUCGAUGGUAGGUUCUGCGCCUACCAUGGUCGUAACGGGUAACGGGGAAUCAGGGUUCGAUUCCGGAGAGGGAGCCUGAGAAACGGCUACCACAUCCAAGGAAGGCAGCAGGCGCGCAAAUUACCCACUCCCGGCACGGGGAGGUAGUGACGAAAAAUAACGAUGCAGAACUCUUUCCGAGGCUCUGCAAUCGGAAUGAGCACACUCUAAAUCAUUUAACGAGUAUCCAUUGGAGGGCAAGUCUGGUGCCAGCAGCCG